rnacentral:lncRNA from 1 species
UGGGGAGGAGUCCAGCUCGGAGGACCCGGGCAAAUAUAGCGAAGCUAGCAGCAGCAGCAGUGGCAGUGGCAGCAGCGACAGUGGUGGAAGUGAGCAGUAACAUGGCAGCAGUGAUGAGCGCUUGGGGGUGCACACACCAGGUCGGCCCCAGGCAGGAUGGGACAGACCAAUCCCAAUAGGUGCCGGUACAUGUCAUGCAUCGGGGGUUUCAUCCGUAGGAGUAGGCAUGAACUCUGCAAGUGGUGGUGAGACUCCUUGGCGAGCACUUGCUGUAUGGGGGGUGACAUGAACGCUGUUUUCGAGGACGAUGGUUGAGAUGAAUGCAUCAGGCUGUCAGGCUGGCUGGUUGGCGUUGUGAGUCCAAAGCGCCUUGGUCCACAAGCACACUGAGACUUAAGCUACUUUGACAAGGGGUGUGCGUCCAUUUUGAGGCUUGCCGCAAGUAUUCACCAAUCGUUAAUUUAACAUGCAGUAAGCGUCACAUCGCAGAGUAAUAUCUGCCUGUGUAACCCGUAAUCACUGGGUCUUCACCCGUAAUUUUGCGUGUAAUUGGUUACAUGCGCCCGUAAUUCACCUCCAGCACCGCGUAAAAUCCACCCGUAAUCACUGGGUCUUCACCCGUAAUUUUGCGUGUAAUUGGUUACAUGCGCCCGUAAUUCACCUCCAGCACCGCGUAAAAUCCACCCGUAAUCACUGGGUCUUCACCCGUAAGUUUGCGUGUAAUUGGUUACAUGCGCCCGUAAUUCACCUCCAGCACCGCGUAAAAUCCACCUGUAAUCACUGGGUCUUCACCCGUAAUUUCGCGUGUAAUUGGUUACAUGCGCCCGUAAUUCACCUCCAGCACUGCGUAAAAUCCACCCGUAAUCACUGGGUCUUCACCCGUAAUUUUGCGUGUAAUUGGUUACAUGCGCCCGUAAUUAACCUCCAGCACCACGUAAAAUCCACCUGUAAUCACUGGGUCUUCACCCCUAAUUUUGCGUGUAAUUGGUUACAUGCGCCCGUAAUUCACCUCCAGCACCGCGUAAAAUCCACCCGUAAUCACUGGGUCUUCACCCGUAAUUUUGCGUGUAAUUGGUUACAUGCGCCCGUAAUUAACCUCCAGCACCGCGUAAAAUCCACCCGUAAUCACUGGGUCUUCACCCGUAAAUGUUCACCUGUAUCCUUGUGCUCAAAUUACGGGACCCGUAACACGUUACGGGUCCGUAACACUGUAUCCUUGUGCUCAAAUUACGGGACCCGUAACACGUUACGGACCCGUAAUUUCUGUCAAAUUACGGGUGGAUUGACCCAAAAUUACGGGUAAAAUGACCCCCCUUUUCCCAGAGUGUGGAAC